rnacentral:misc_RNA from 1 species
UUUCCGUAGGUGAACCUGCGGAAGGAUCAUUAAAGGAUUUGCACGCAUAUGUGUGCAAAGCCCCCACCCUGUGAUGUGUAUUGUGUGAGUGUGGCCCUAUGUGCCACGCCUUUUUUCCAACCACUCUUUAUCAUUCUGAAAUACAAAUUAACAAUCGAAAACUGCCAGCAAUGGAUCACUUGGUUCUC